AACUGGUAGUGAUCUGGAGCCGAUCACCUGAUGAGUCCAAGGUAGGACGAAACGAGUC
rnacentral:hammerhead_ribozyme from 10 species